GUUGACUGUGCCUGAGACGAUUCCCCACAGCGCCGGCUAUGUAGACAGCUUGUGAAAAUGGUGAGAACCAUGCAGCUCAAAUUUUCAAUUAAUACAAAUAAACUAACAAUGUUUUUAUUAACUUGUAUAUUUUAGCAUAGCGAAGACUAUGAAAAAUAUUGCAACAACUUGAAAUGCUAUAUACCAAGUAAACAAGAUGAGGAAUCCAAAUGCUCACAAGAAAUGACAAAAAGCAGCAUGAAGAUUAACACAAAGAAAUUGUGCCAGAAAAGUUUGAAGUAGCUAUGAGAAUGAUCAACAUUGAACUUGCUGAGCCUUCCUUCUGAAAGUGACUUGACCAGAUAUUUGGCUACCUAGUAUGAGUAUCUUUCUGCUACAUUAAAUAAAAUAUCGUGGAGGAACACGAAGAAAAGGGCUGCGCAUCUCAGCAUAUUCAAGGUCAAGCAGGUUUUUACCAUAUCCUUAGUAUCUUGCUGCUAAAUGAAAGAAUUAUUGUGGAGGAGCAGAGAAAAGGGCACCUCAACAUGUUCAAGGUCAAGCAGAAAUUAGGAGCUAGAUGUGCUUCUCCAGAGCUGAAAACUUCUUGGCAUGAAGAGAAGAAAAAGCAAGAAGAAGCAGUAUUAAAUAUUGAUUACGUCUUCAUAGUACAAUAAAUGAUUCUAAAGAUAAUACUAUCUAUGAAAUUAGAAAAUUGAAGUUGCGUUCUGAUGAAUGUGAGGAAUAAAGUCUUCAAAGAACAGGACACCAAAAGUGCCACUCUCAAAUCAAAGCACUCUAAAAGGCAGAGCAUAAGAAGAACUAGGACAAAUAAAGAAUCUAAAAGAGUCAAACCUUUGGAUGUAGUAAUUGAACAGAGAUGGGCUAUUAGAGAUGAAAUAUCUGAGUUGCUACUGUUUUGCACAAAUGUGAUGCUUUUUUUACGUAUCUUUAAUUGACACAUUCAAUGUUAGAUAAGAAAAAUAUACCUAGUGUUGUAUUUUUGACAGUGAAAGUUUUUUCUGAUGCUUGAUUACAGAUUAAAACUGGUAAGUUUUUUAUUGUUUAAACAUUUAUUGGUUUGUUGUGUA